UACGUAGGGGGCUAGCGUUGUCCGGAAUCAUUGGGCGUAAAGCGCGCGUAGGCGGUCCGGCAAGUCCGCUGUGAAAGUCGGGGGCUCAACCCUCGGAUGCCGGUGGAUACUGUCGGGCUUGAGUACGGAAGAGGCGAGUGGAAUUCCUGGUGUAGCGGUGAAAUGCGCAGAUAUCAGGAGGAACACCAAUUGCGAAGGCAGCUCGCUGGGACGUUACUGACGCUGAGACGCGGAAGCGUGGGGAGCAAACAGG
rnacentral:rRNA from 1 species